AAUAGAUACCCGGGUAGUCCACGCCCUAAACGAUGCGAACUAGGUGUUGGGGAAGGAGACUUCUUUAGUACCGUAGCUAACGCGUGAAGUUCGCCGCCUGGGGAGUACGGUCGCAAGAUUAAAACUCAAAGGAAUUGACGGGGACCCGCACAAGCGGUGGACGAUGUGGAUUAAUUCGAUGCAACGCGAAAAACCUUACCUACCCUUGACAUGUCCGGAACCCUGGUGAGAGCCGGGGGUGCCCGAAAGGGAAUCGGAACACAGGUGCUGCAUGGCUGUCGUCAGCUCGUGUCGUGAGAUGUUGGGUUAAGUCCCGCAACGAGCGCAACCCUUGCCACUAAUUGCCAUCAUUUGGUUGGGCACUUUAGUGGGACUGCCGGUGACAAACCGGAGGAAGGUGGGGAUGACGUCAAGUCCUCAUGGCCCUUAUGGGUAGGGCUUCACACGUCAUACAAUGGUCGGUACAGAGGGUUGCCAAGCCGCGAGGUGGAGCCAAUCCCAGAAAGCCGAUCGUAGUCCGGAUCGCAGUCUGCAACUCGACUGCGUGAAGUCGG
rnacentral:rRNA from 1 species